GCUGCUGUUUUUCUUGCACUUGGCCAUCAGUAUGGAGCAAGCCGAGACAAAGAUCACGACUGCAAUAGCGAUAGGAACGACCAUGGUGGUCUGGUACUUUGUGGUCCCAACGAACGGAUCUAAAAUUCAGAUUCUUGCGGAAGAUUUUGGGAAUAAGGUGGCAGCAGAUGGAGACAAAAAGGGAAAUGACAGACAAGAAUGCAGUAAGCGACGAGCUGAGGAGACGGUGAUGGAAUUGGAUAGGACACCUGGUACGGAGGGAAGGUGAGGCGGCGUUAGGAUGGACACCAGAAGGGAAAGGGGAGACUGAAAACAACAUGGAAUAGAAGCAGAGAGGAGGAUGGAGAAGCUGGAAUGAGGCGAAGAUGGUAAAAAGAGACAGAGUUGCUUGGAGAGAGUUUGCCAGUGUGUGUCGCGACCUUAUGCGACUUCUGGUGUGAAGAGAACUAAGUGCUAAGUAAAGGGAAAUAGUCCAAGAAGGACAAACUCAAAACCCAUAAAACAAAAUAUGUACAUGUAUAAUAUAGGUAAGCGUUAUUCAUUAUUAUGAAUUCAAAUAAAAGAUAAAAAGUACUAAUAAA